rnacentral:rRNA from 1 species
GUUUGAUCCUGGCUCAGAAUCAACGCUGGCGGCGUGCCUCAGACAUGCAAGUCGAACGAUUAAAGCUCUCUUCGGAGAGUGUAUAGAGUGGCGCACGGGUGAGUAACACGUAAGUAAUCUACCCUCGAGUGGGGAAUAACAACCGGAAACGGUUGCUAAUACCGCAUAAUGCAGCGGCACCGCAAGGUGACAGUUGUUAAAGAUUUAUCGCUUGAGGAGGAGCUUGCGGCAGAUUAGCUAGUUGGUAGGGUAACGGCUUACCAAGGCUACGAUCUGUAACCGGUCUAAGAGGACGGUCGGUCACACUGACACUGAAUAACGGGUCAGACUCCUACGGGAGGCAGCAGUCGGGAAUUUUGGGCAAUGGGCGAAAGCCUGACCCAGCAACGCCGCGUGAAGGAUGAAGUAUUUCGGUAUGUAAACUUCGAAAGAAUAGGAAGAAUUAAUGACGGUACUAUUUAUAAGGUCCGGCUAACUACGUG